rnacentral:rRNA from 1 species
UACGAAGGGGGCUAGCGUUGCUCGGAAUGACUGGGCGUAAAGGGCGCGUAGGCGGUUUGUACAGUCAGAUGUGAAAUUCCUGGGCUCAACCUGGGGGCUGCAUUUGAUACGUGCGGACUAGAGUGGGGAAGAGGGUCGUGGAAUUCCCAGUGUAGAGGUGAAAUUCGUAGAUAUUGGGAAGAACACCGGUGGCGAAGGCGGCGACCUGGUCCUUGACUGACGCUGAGGCGCGAAAGCGUGGGGAGCAAACAGG